rnacentral:lncRNA from 1 species
UUAUAAGUUAAGGUCAUUUUCACAAAGAAAACUAACAAAAUAUAGGUGCCAGUAAUAUAACAUUGAUGAGGAAAGCUUCAAACUCCAUGAACACUUGCAUAUUAUAUUUUUUAAAGGAACACUCUGUAUCAGUUACAGUUUUAGUAUAAUUAUUUUCUGCAAAAAGUAGGUUAUCAAUACAUUUCAUAACUACAUGACCUGAUAAUGUAAUACACUGCAGGGUCUUGUACAAAAGAAACAACCACAAUAAGGGUAACUAGAAAACACAAAGUAUGAUAUGAAUGAUCCAACUUGCAGAUAGAAGCACCAUUGUUAUUCCACUAAAAGAUCUUGGAUGACUGAUAUAAAAGAAGCCAAUAUUCUUAAUACAUAAUAGUACUUUGAUUUUGGAAGCUACAUAUUGCAUAAUAGGUACUGAGAAAGACAACACUCGUGACUAAAUAACAAAACGAUUCACAAAUUUUUUAUCUCUUUAGUGUAUUGCUGGUAAGAAUACUUGUAUUUUUUAUUGUUAAGAAUACUUGAUUUUAGUUUCUUUUCCAAAUGAAAUCCAAACGUACAAUACAAUAUGUGAAUAAUUAAACGACUCAGAGGACAUUAAAGUCACAGUUACCUUUUAUCUAACUCUUCUAACAAAAUGGAAGAUAUAUCUAACCAAUAAACCAGGCGCAUAUUUAAAGUAUUCAACUGGUAAUUUCUCCUGCACAAAUGGAGGAUGCAACAUUUCGUUGACUAAUCUGUGUUCUUCCUAUGAUUGAAAGCUUCAUUUUCCAAAAUGGGGAUGAGGCAUUUGAACCCUAGUCUUGUCCAAGACAAAUGCCAAAGUUUGAUAAACCUAAGUGUGAUAUUUACCUUCUUUGACUUUACCACUAUAAGUAUAUGAUCAAUGAAGAGUAAAACAAUGAACAAUGAAUAAAAAUAUGCCAGACCCAGUACAAGCUAUGUUUCCACCAUUGUCUUGACCUGUGAAGAGAUGUAAUUCCAUUUCUUUUAUUCUGAGAACCACAUUUUUCUAGACAUUUUCACUACAUGCCUACUCUGAACAAAGCAACAGGCAUGAUACGAAACUGAAGCAAAAACAACAAGAGUCAGCUCGUGUUAACAACAGUUAUAUAUUACACUUGCAAAUAUAUUCUCCAAAUAAACACCAAACUUGUGCAUGAUAUUUCAGUUUCACGAGUAUCCUCAAACAGUUGGACAUGCAUACAUGAAAAUAUAUGAACUAAAUAUCAUUUCCAAUUGAACUCUCUCUUUUUCUUUUUCUGGUCUCCAAAGAGAGAAAUAAAAACAGAAACUAUGAAGGAAAAAAGAACUUUGUGCAAAUAUCUACUCACUUUUCCUGACGUCGUAAUAGGACAAAAUAAAUUGGAUCCUGUAAAGAUUCCUGAGUUGAAAGCUUAAGAAAUUGCAAUACGAUGUAGCCACAUGUAGCAAUGCUGUAAAGGGAGUAGAGAGAAUGUUAUCACCGUCCCUGAAUAUAUAAUCACAAACUGGCAAACAUUUAUGCAUGAUAUUGAUUGAACUUUGUAAGGGAAAUGACAACAUGGCCUUCUGAUGCCAUGCAAGGAUAAUACAAAUUGAAAAGGAAGAUAGUCAUCGCCACUAGAAUGCAAGAAAAUUUGUAUCCUAUGCAAUACAAGAUGCCAAAAGACAUCAAGGUAAAUGUGCAGUCAUACAAAAUUGAAUAUACGUUGAAACAAAGGGUGCAGUUGCACACAUAGAGGAUAUAGUAAGAGAAAAUCGUCUUUGAUAGACCUAAAAUACAUCAAAUAUACACCAGUCAACUGGUGUAACAUGAUUGAAGGUGCUGAAAGGGAUGAGAAAGACCUAAAAUCGCAUGGAGGAGGUUGUCUGAAAAGACCUACAAAAUCUAGGAAUCAUUGCAAAUCUGAAAAAGUAACAACAUGGAAGAAAAGAUCCAAAUCAAUAAUACUAGCUAGUGUGCAUUGAGGCUUAAUUUAUGCUGUUGCACAAAUAUUAGGUUCAUAAGUGUGACAUUUAGAGAUUUUCUGGAACUUUGCCUUACAAGACAAACUUCUAGCUAGUAUUGGAAUGAUGUGGGCCCAAAUAGAGAGAAAUAUGUAGAGAAUUCAAAUCGCGGACCUAGUUCAGUUUGAGGUAUAGUUGAUCGAUUGAUUGAUUGACUGGGUAUAUCAUCAAGGAAGAUAUCUAUAUGCAAAGGGAAUUCAUAGCAGCGAACACGAGAUAUAAAUAAUUGGGAACAUCAAUCCUAAGACUGUAAUGCCCAUGGGUGAAGACAAAAAACAGUGUAUGUCAACAGAUAGAAACCUAUAGCCCUGAAAGAAAAAAUAUAACAAGCCAUCAGAGCAUUCUUCACGAGAAUGUACUACAGUACUAACCAAGGGAAGAAUAAAUUUGGUCACACUGUUCAAAAUAUGUGAAAAAUUUCAACCUGAGAAUUCAGUCAUAUAAGAGAUGCUAAGAGAAAGCUUGAAGAACAGUCAUCAUCUGAAACUAAAAGUACAUCAAAGUUGUUAUAUAUACAGGAAUAAGGGUGGCAUACCUUCCUAAACAUACUAGCAAGACCACCCAAAGUAUUGCAGUAAUCCAGUUUGAUUCCUUGUAGACAACCCAGGACUGAUAACACAACACCAAAACAUGAGAGCAUUGCUUUUGCGGUUUUGCCUUUAGAUGAUAAGAGCAGAGAAACAUAGUAACAUGCGAUGCAUUCUGGCCAAUGUCUUGGAAUAAAAAUAUUGUUUACAAUGCAAUUGAAACCCAAAGGACCUCAAAGAUGUAACCCAGCAAAAAAUAAAGAGCUAAGAAGGGUAACUACAGGGUGAGAUAUUUUCCUAAUCAAUGUUUUGCUUAAACUGCAGGAUGACAUUCUAUAGUAGCAUUUGCACAAGCCCAUGGGCUCCUAUGAAGUGCAACGGCAAACUUCAAAUCUCAGCCUAAGGCUAAGGAUUAAAAAUUGCACACUAUAGGAACUUAAUUCUUCUAUAGUAUUGCACAAAUGUCUGAGAAUCUUAACCUUUAUACCAUUUAUAGCUCUAACUUCUAUACCCUUUAUAUCUCUAACAUCUAACAUAGUAGGUGCGCCAAAUUCAACAUGUUCUCCUUAUUAUCCAAUGCUAGUAAAACUGUAGCAAAUAAAAUGCAAUCGACUUCAGAAUAAAGGUUCGCAUAUGAAACAUUUUGAAGCAUUAAAUUAAUCAUGGCAUACCCAUAUAACAAUUAUGUGGAUGUAGAAAUCUAUCAGGGUAGCUGCCAUCCACCUGCAAGAUUCAUCCCACUCAUUUCAGAUUGUCUGGAAAGCAGAUGGAAGUGGAACUAAACUAUUUUUUUUUUAUAAGGUAAGUGGUAUUAAUAACAGCAUCACGAAGACAGAUGAACUAAACUAUUUUUCAAGUCAAAAUCUCAAUUUCAAGUAAGUUACUUUUUCUUAACCGUUUUCAAAAAACUGUUACUCCUCUGUCGGAGUACAAGGGUCAAAAAUCUUAUUUCGAGUAUGAAUUCGGGUAUAGAUUUUUCAUUUUUUUAAAAAUAGAACUGCUAUAUUUGUAAACUACACGAAAAGUAGUGCAAAUCAACAUAGCUAAUCAUUCAAAAUAUUCAAAAGAAAUUUGAGAAAGUUGAAAUAAAAAAAGUGGUGGACUCUCCAAACAGUAACAACUUCACAUAAAAUGAGAAUGAGGGACUACUAUAAGAUAACUAACACAUAAUUAACUAAAAAAAAUUUACUCCCUCGGUUUCAAUGUGAUUGUCCUAUUUUAACUUGGUACCAAGUUGAAGGAAGGAAAAGAAACUUCUGAACUAAAGAUAUGUCAAAUAAAUCAAAAUACCAUUUAAUUUUGUGGUCUUAAACAAGCCUCGUGCAAAGUUAGAAUUAAAGAAUUGCUGAAAAAGGAAAGGAGCAUUCUUGUAUAAACGAACUAAAAGAGAAAGUAUGACAAACAAAUCGAAAUCCAGGGAGUGUCUUGUUUCUAGCAGCUUGAACUUUUACACCUUGUUUGGAUGGUUGUUACCCAUCGUAUUAUAUUGUUAAUUUAAAUACAAUGUUUGUUUUGAUUGUUACUUAAAUUCUAUUGUAUCGUAUCGUUUAAAUCCAUCGUUAGGUAACGAUUAAAAGUCUCAUUUUAUGUAACGACUAACUUGGUAUGAUCGUGUCAUUACUUUAAUAUUCUCUUCUCUUUUUGUCUUUAUUUAUUAUUUAAUAAUCCUAUUUUAUCUUUUACCCUACCUUUUCAUAGUAGCACUACCUUGUACCAUCCUUUUCUUAUAAGCUUAUCACUCAAAUUCCUGAUGUGUGACAUUAUAUAACAGCAGAGAACGAUACAAUCUAUCCAAACAUUGUAUUCAUUAAAACGAUACAGUACAACACAAUACAAUACAAUACAACACGAUACAUUAUGAAACAAUACUUGACAACCAUCCAAACAGAGUGCUAGUAAAGGUGAGGAGAAAGAAAUCCAGGUGUAGGUGUUCAAAAUAUAAAAAUGUAACUAAAAGUGAUCCUUUUUUGAAUAAUUUAAGCUUUUAGAUAGGGUUUUUGUCGUUUUGUUUCCAUAAUUCAACAAUUUUUGGUACUGAUAAAGAUUCAAACCCCAAUUCAUCCAAACAGAAGCAUUAAUAAUCCAAAAAAAUGAAAUCCAAAGUAGAAUUAGUAUGACAGAGAGAGAGAGAAAAGGAUAAUACGAGGUGAGGAGUUCUAUGCGGAAAGGGAGGCCAUCAGUGGCGACGGUGUAUAUUACGGUGGCUGUAAUCAAACAUCCCAACACAGAGAAGAGACUCUUCAAUGCAAUUGCUAAAGUUGCUGCCAUUUUUGAGUACUCGGUCUUCGUCUUCGAGUUUUGCAGAAGAGAGAAAGGAAGCGUAUUGAAAAGGGGAGAAAAUGUGAGAAGGCCAUUGCUCCACGUCCACUGAAUAUUUGUGUCAAAACUUCAAAAUUUCUUGUAUUUGUAACCGUAAUAAAAUCGAAACAAAACAUACCAUGCGGGGCGGGGCAGAGUGGAGCGGCACUGGAUGAAAUUUUUGCGGGUUAAGUUUCAACCCGAUCCGCUCCAUUAUCAGCCUUAUAUGGGUGGGGAAACUUAAAAUGUCGAUUUAGUGUGCUAUUAAAGAGUUGGUUGUUGUUAACGUUAUUCUUGCUAAAAAAAUAUUUUUGAUAAUGUCGAUUACCUUUGUACUGAAUAAUAUAAGGAAAGUGAGGUUGAUUCGAGUACAUGAAAAGAAGAUUGUCUUACUGAGAAAAUGUGAGAAACUUACGAGGAUAUAAUCUUAUAUGAAAGAGGGUAUGGAGAUCAAGAUUAAGAUAGUAGAUAUUAAAAUUAAGAUAAACGGUUAGAAGGCAAUCAAGUAGUGACUAGUUUUCUUUACUAGUUGUAUUAUCUCUGAGAUUUUGUUACGUCUUGUUGUUGCUAUUUUCGAUUAUCGUAUUAUUUGCUAUUGUUAUUAUUUUUUAAAUUAAUUUUAGACUAUUUUACUUUGUGUACACAUAAAUUUACUCAGACCUUACUUAUAAAAUUGUAUAGAGUAUAUUAUUGUUGUUGUCCUAAUGAUAGCAAUCUAAACAAUUUAUGUGAUUGUCAUGUUUUAUUCUACUCUCACACACUAUAUAAAAAAACUGAGAUCACUAUCUAUACCACUUGACAAAGCAAUAGAUUAUAUUUAGAUAGAAAAUUCAAGGAUUAAAAGUAAUUCUUUUCAAUUAAAGUAUUAAACUAAAAAAAUGUGAAUACUUUAAAGGGGUUUGAAUUAUCAACUCUUCUAAUCGUGUUCAAAAUGUUUUAUGUCAAUGAAAUAUGAGAUGUCAUAACUUUUAUGCAUGGAGAUACAUUUUGCUAAAGAUGUAACAAAAUUUAAGUCCACAACAAACAGUAACAUAAUUAUUACAAGAAACAUUUUGGUUCUUUUACACAAACAUAUGUAGAUUGGAACUUUAUAUUGUUGACAUAUUUAUUAGGAAAAAAAGAAGAUGAAAGAGUCCAAUGAUCAAAUAAACCAUAUAACUUCUUGCUCAUUUGACCUUCUCCUAUGCUGUCCGUUUGAGAGGUUCCUUUAUACCCUCUUUUUCUUCCCUAAUAAGAACAAUUACAACACAAGGUUAGUCUAAAAUAAAAUAAUAUUGGAAAUUAUAAAAUAAAAUAAUGUGUAUAGAAUUGCUAAAGCUAAAUAAGAUAUUUGAGGAGCAGAGGAGGUUGUUUCUAAUAGACGUUCCGCUCAAAACAAAAUGUAAUCAAAGCAUGAUAGAAAGAAAAACUGGCAGCAAAUAGCAAAAUAACUUGGUAGUAGUGAAAAUUAGAAGAACAAGAUAUAUACUACAAUACCUAAAUUAUCUUUCGACCAUUAUCCUUGACCUCAAAAUCUUCCCAUCUAGGGUUAUGUGCUAAGUAAGCUGAAAAUGUCUCAUGUCUUGUCUAAUUACCUACCCGUUCUACUUUUGCCCAUCUCUACCUCUCCUAAAACAUACUAUAGUCAACCUCUCACACCUCCUCAUUAGUACAUUUGCGCUCCUCCUCUUCACAUGUCUGAACCAUUUUAGUUUCGCUUCCGUCAUCUUAUCCCCUACGGAAGCCACUUCAACCUUGUCUAGUAUAACUUCAUGAAGUUCCUAAUCAUAUCCCUCAUAAUAUACCCCACACAUUCAUAUGAGCAUCCUCAUCUCUGCUACCUUCAUCUUUUGAUUUUGACCGACCAACACUAUGCCCCAUUUAUAUAUACAACAAAGUAGGUCUGACCACCCUUCUGUAACUUACCUUUAAGCCUGAGUGACACAUAUUCAGAAAUGUAGCCCAUAUUCAGUUAAAAGAAAAUGAAAAACUACAUAUUCUAGACUUCCAUUCUGUUACCAGUCUUGAGAUUGUUCAGUCACUUGCACCAACAAAAGAAACCUUUUGUAAUAUGGUACAACUUUGACUAGGACAAGGAUAUCAGGGAGGUUUUUUUUCUUCUUAAAAAGCAGUAGUACAAGCAUUAUUGUUGCAACUGCAGAAUCAACAGGAUGUAAUAUCUUCUCAAUUUGCGUUUUCACAGGUAUAUGCACACAAAAUCUAUGUCAUAAUGAGAACACGCAUAAACAGAUGGUGCACAAACUUGCCUGUUGCUGCUGCUGCUGCUGAAAAGAACAAGGUACGCGGGAUCUUGAGAUGAGAGACUGAAAAGUUGAAGAGCAAUAUAGGCACUUGUGAUGGUGCUGAGGAAAUCAACAUAAAACAUGAAUUAGAUAUAAUUAUAGUCCAAAAAAAGCUGUUGUAAUAUAUCAUAUUUUGCUCUCACCCAUAUAGAGCAACAAAAAAGAUGACAUAUCGAUGAAGCUAACUGCAAACUGAUACCAUUUAUGCACUAUACUAGGAUAAAUACAACAUCAAAAUGUACCUGCCAAACAAAAUAAUUGGUAUGAUCCAAAAAGCUGCACUUAGCCAACUUGAUUCCUUAUAUGCAACCCAGACCUGGAAAGAAAUCACAUGAAAAAUCCUAAAUAACAAUAUUGUAACGUAGUAUUAUGUAAGUUUAUGGCAAGUUACUGCAUGCCAUAGCCAUACAUAGUAUUGUAUUUCACAAACUUUUGCCUUCCUUAUCAAGUCACAGAGAGAAGAAAUCUUUUAAUACCAAUGAGAUUAAGAGCAAAGGUAGCUAUACAAUGGAAAACUUACCGAGAGAGGUACAGCAAGGACAAAGUGAUCAAUUAGUGUUGUUGUCAUCCACCUGCACAGAUAUUGACUUCUCAAAUUGCAUGUCAAAGAAAGAUUUAUACCAAGCACAAGUCUAUACAGGCUGAUGUAUGGGGAUGCACAUGUAUCACUUCAUCACAAACUCGUAACGUUUGCUUUCCAGAGAAAAUUUCAAAAAAAAUUGCAACUGAUAGAUCGCAGCUCCUUGGAUAUGAUGGUAUCUAAUUAAAAGUAGGAACAAAUAAAUAAGCAAACAACUUACGGAGUGAAAGUAUCUCUGUGAAAUGGAGAACCAUAAGUUACAAGGAUAUAAAUCAGUGUCCCUAGCAUCAGACUGCCCAAAGCAAGAGAUAGAAUUCUUGCAGUUAAAAGAGAAUACUUCCUCCAUUGUUCUGUUUCAGUCCUGUAUCACAAAAUCUCAUCAGAUUAUUAUAAGUUAAGGUCAUUUUCAGAAAGAAAACUAAUACAAAUAGCUGUCACUCAUCAUAUAAAUUGAUGAGGAAAUCUUCAAACACCAAGAAACACUUAUUUUAUUUUUAAAGGAACGCUUAUUUGUAUCAGUUAAAUUUUAGUACUAUUAUUUUCUGCCAAGAGCAGGUUAUUAACAGUUCAUAACUACAUGAUCUGAUAAUGUA